GUGGCAGACGGGUGAGUAACAUGUGGGUAUCUGCCCUUUGGCCUGGAAUAACACGAGGAAACUUGUGCUAAUACCGGAUAAGUCUUUACGGAGAAAGCUUUAUGCACCAUUGGAUGAGCCCGCACUUGAUUAGUUUGUUGGUGGGGUAAUGGCCUACCAAGACUGUGAUCAAUAGCUGAUUUGAGAGGAUGAUCAGCCACAUUGGGACUGAGACACGGCCCAAACUCCUACGGGAGGCAGCAGUGGGGAAUCUUGCACAAUGGAGGAAACUCUGAUGCAGCGAUGCCGCGUGAGUGAAGAAGGCCCUUGGGUUGUAAAGCUCUUUCGUCGGGGAAGAAAAUGACUGUACCCGAAUAAGAAGGUCCGGCUAACUUCGUGCCAGCAGCCGCGGUAAUACGAAGGGACCUAGCGUAGUUCGGAAUUACUGGGCUUAAAGAGUUCGUAGGUGGUUGAAAAAGUUGGUGGUGAAAUCCCAGAGCUUAACUCUGGAACUGCCAUCAAAACUUUUCAGCUAGAGUUUGAUAGAGGAAAGCAGAAUUUCUAGUGUAGAGGUGAAAUUCGUAGAUAUUAGAAAGAAUACCAAUUGCGAAGGCAGCUUUCUGGAUCAUUACUGACACUGAGGAACGAAAGCAUGGGUAGCGAAGAGGAUU
rnacentral:rRNA from 1 species